UGGCGUAGUGGUCACUGCGCUCGCCUUGCAUGCGGGAGACCUGGGUUCGAUUCCCGG
rfam:Asian citrus Psyllid, Diaphorina citri - Florida Strain, whole genome shotgun sequence.